rnacentral:rRNA from 1 species
GUAGCUAUGUGCGGAGCGGAUAACCGCUGAAAGCAUCUAAGUGGGAAGCCCACCUCAAGAUGAGUGCUCUCAUGGGGUUAACCCAGUAAGGUCACGGGCAGAACACCCGUUGAUAGGCGGCAGAUGGAAGUGCAGUAAUGCAUGCAGUCGAGCCGUACUAAUAGACCGAGGGCUUGACCUCU